GAUGAACGCUAGCGGCAGGCUUAACACAUGCAAGUCGAGGGGUAUAGUUCUUCGGAACUAGAGACCGGCGCACGGGUGCGUAACGCGUAUGCAAUCUACCUUUUGCAGAGGGAUAGCCCAGAGAAAUUUGGAUUAAUACCUCAUAGUAUGUGAGAAUGGCAUCAUUUUCACAUUAAAGUCACAACGGCAAAAGAUGAGCAUGCGUCCCAUUAGCUUGUUGGUAAGGUAACGGCUUACCAAGGUAACGAUGGGUAGGGGUCCUGAGAGGGAGAUCCCCCACACUGGUACUGAGACACGGACCAGACUCCUACGGGAGGCAGCAGUGAGGAAUAUUGGACAAUGGGCGCAAGCCUGAUCCAGCCAUGCCGCGUGCAGGAUGACGGUCCUAUGGAUUGUAAACUGCUUUUGUACAGGAAGAAACACUGGUUCGUGAACCAGCUUGACGGUACUGUGAGAAUAAGGAUCGGCUAACUCCGUGCCAGCCGCCGCGGUAACAC
rnacentral:rRNA from 1 species